rnacentral:ncRNA from 2 species
CUCUUAUCAAGAGAGGUUGAGGGACUGACCCUGCGAAGCCUCGGCAACCGGCCAAUAUGUCGGCACGGUGCCAAUUUCAGAGGAAUGGUUUUCAUUCCGAAGAUGAGAA